CAGAUUUGGGGGAGCCAGGGACACUUUUGAGAGUUACUACAGGAAGCAGAGGAGGAAACAAGCCCGGCUGGUGCUGCAGCCUCCAUCCAACAUGCACGAAACUUUAGA